rnacentral:rRNA from 1 species
UACGUAGGGUGCAAGCGUUGUCCGGAAUUAUUGGGCGUAAAGAGCUCGUAGGCGGUCUGUCGCGUCGGCUGUGAAAACUUGGGGCUCAACCCCAAGCCUGCAGUCGAUACGGGCAGACUAGAGUGCGGUAGGGGAGACUGGAAUUCCUGGUGUAGCGGUGAAAUGCGCAGAGUAUCAGGAGGAACAGCCGGUGGCGAAGGCGGGUCUCUGGGCCGAUACUGACGCUGAGGAGCGAAAGCGUGGGGAGCGAACAGG